CGGUCGGUAGGGGGAACUGUUGCACUCCCUAUAGACAGUAAAAAUGCGUUUAUUUUCACGUCACGUUAAAUAUCUAUGUCAAUUCUUGGAACAAUUGACAGUCAGGAAGUUUUUUAAUAAUAUCAAAGUUAUUUGUGUGUUUUACUGGAAUAUACAUGGAUAUAAUGAGGUGAUGGGCGUCUAACUCCCUUUUAUGUUUUUUAAAGGUAUAAAAGUCUCUUUGUCCUGUGCUGGGCUUUUCUGAAAUGCCUUUUUAUUUCAGAAGUGACUAAGCCUUGCUGGAAAGUGACAGAGAAGGGGCAGAGCUCCCAGAAAGGCAGGAGGAGUCGGCAGAGCGGCCCCAGGGCUGCUGGGGGAGCUGAGAGGAGGUUCUGGAAAGGCAGCAGGAGUCUGGGGCCACCUCACAAUGGAUGGCCACCACCCCCCAUGCCAGCUGGUGAAGGAAGAGUGGCGAUGGAGAAAGGCUAGUCUAGCUGCAGGACCCUGAUUCAGAUCAGUGCAGAGGUGAGCAAGAGAUUAGACAGAAAGGGGGGUUUUUUGAAUGCUAGGUUCACAAAGGAAACACCUGGGGACCCUGGCACCUGGGACAGAAAGAACUGUUGAGUCAUGUGGAAGGCACUAACUACAUAUAUAGUGGCAUGAUGCAUCAGCUUGGGUGAGUUGGUCAAAAGUGUGACUUGAGUCAACUCAAGUGGACAAGUCAAACUGGAAGGAUUGAAGUAGCAGUUUUUAACUAAGUGGCAUGUCAAAUAAUCCUCAGAGUUUAUUCUUUCAACCAUUUCAUUAGAUUCCUGCCAGCAGGCUAAAUGGUAGGGAGCUGAAAGAGAUCGAUAGAAAAAGUCUCUUGGUGCAACAUUCUUAAGCAAAGUCCUCAGAGUGCUAUUUUUAGCUAAGAGUCGCAGACUUUCUGUAAAAUCUAGAUGAGCUUGUUCUUUUCCUUGUCUUUACCGCUAGUGUCAUCCCUUCUGACUGAUGUUUUAGGGAAUAAAAAUGCUACUUCUUUUUUUUUUUUUUUUCCCACUAGACAUAAAAUGUCAUAGCAUUAACACCUAUACAGAAAUUAAUAGUAUCUGCUCUGAGGGAAGAGGAAUUUUAAGAAUAACCAAGACCAGUCCAUGGUCUUGUGAUUUAUGCAAUUCUCAGUGCUAGGUUUGACAUCAUCCAUCUUUAUCUCUGUAAACUCUUACCAAGUGUCCAGACAGUGGUGGAUUAUUUCACCCUUAUAGGAUACAAUUUUGAAUACUGCUGGAGGCCAAUUCUGAAUUUAAUUUUGAAGUGGAAAGUCAAAGACAAUUUUGGUUCCUGCACUUGUGGAAGGUCAAAUCUCCAUUUUCUCCAUUUUCCAGAAUUUAAGCUACAUGGAAGGGAUCUCUGUCCCUCUGUUGUUGCAAAUAUGCUAUUUUAAGUCAAGAAAUUUUGGGCCAGAGAGCAGAAAGGUGACUUUUUUAUCUUGCUGUUUUAUAUACUGGUCUGUGCACGUGUUUUGGAUGACCUCUCUCUGUUAAACAUCAUUGAACAAAAUAUGAACAAGUAGAAGACAGAUGUGUAAUCUUAAAUAUUUCCUCUUUCAGGUAAGCAUCCUAAUUAUAAAUUUUAUGUUUUCUUCAUGAUGUUCUCCAAGCAGAUUGUAUCUUCUUUUCCAUGUGCUGGCAGCUCUUGAAUACAGAGGGUGGAGAAUGCCUCUGUCAAUGCUCCCUUUUCCCCUUAAUCACUUUGAAACUCACAGUGAAGUGUUGACCUUCCCAUUUCUGGGAAGAAGGAGGUUUCUGUGCUGACCUCGGACUUAGGUAUUUUCUUAUAUACGCUUUGGUCCUUUUCUAUGCAUACCUACGUUGUGCUUAAACCUACAAGAUUAGCAGGAUAAAUAUUUCUUCCCCUGUUAAGUGUGAUGGAUGUUCCCUGCCUUGGCUGAGAAUUAAUGAAAUUUAUUAAUAUUUCUAAACUGUGUUUCACAAUUGCUUUAUCCUGGGAACCUGGGAUAAAGACUGCAAAAUAGGAUCAAAGAUUUGGGGAAUCAAAAAGAAUCAUUAGUUUUCUGAAAUCUCCUGCAGAUCAUGAAAAUAUAAGAUGUCUCAUGUCAGAGAUACUAACUCAGUGGUAAAAACGUAAGGCUUGUAAGAUUUAAAAAGUAGGAAGAUCUUGUGGGCAAAUGAUAGACCAGGACUGAAGAGAACCAUCCUGGUUCUUUUAUGGACUUCCUGAGUGACCUUGAAGAAAAUCAUGCAGUACUUCAAUAUUCCAUCAGGAGCGUUUCCUUUCUCCCUUGCCUUGUCCAUUUAGGUGGCUGCGAGCUCAGGGCUCUCAGUGUAUAUUAGGCAAGUUCACUCAGUAUGCCUUUACAGUGACACAGUGGAGUCCUGAUCACUUUGUUUCUGCAUUGUGAAUAACCAUUAAGCAACAAGCAUAAGUUUGGGAUUUGAAUUUUUUCCCUAGAACACUGGCUUCUGUGAGCUCCCGGUACUGAACAGCAGAUUCUGUGUAAAGCCACACAGGUACCGAUCUCUGGCAGACAUCAAAUAGCUGCAUUCUUUCCACAUAAUUUCAGAAGCUAUAAAUAUAAGAAAAACCAACAAAGAGCCCAAAUCAGAAAAACCUGCUUCCCUUCUUCCUCUCUACCAGAAGUAUGAAGCUUGGGUUCUGACAGAUACCUGGAACAGAGCACAGCAUUGAUAAAUAGGGGCAGAUUUGCAGUGGAACAUUGCAUGUUCACUCUUGUCAAUAAUCUUGCUUGGAUGUUAUUUUAAAAAAUAUCUUUAAAUAAUAUGGAAAUUAUAUUUGUUCUUGCUUACAUUCUUAAAUUGAUACCAUCAGCAUGAUCUCCAGUGUGACUUACUGAUUCCUGGAUGAUUUAACCAUUGUUAAUAUACCAUUAUUUAAGAUGACUAGGGUUCUGAGAGUGAAACACAAAACUUUGUUAUAUACUAUUGUGUAUUAAUGUUGGUAUAGGGGGGACAAAAAACCCAACAAAUUAAAAUCUUUUCCAUUAAAAGAUUUUGAGGCACUACAUUUGCUGAUGCCUUGCCCAACAACUGCAUAUUUUGGGUGGUUUUUUCCAUUACUUAAUGUGAGGAUGAUGGAUUCUAUAUUUUUUUUCCUUGCAACCAUCUCCAGCUGAAAUGACUAGAAAUGUUCUCUGUUAUAUCAGUGGGGAUACUGAAAAAAUUUUUAACUGGUGUCAUCAGAUUUAAAAAGAGAGCACAUGAGAAUGAAAAAUAUUACAAGCAGAGAUUCAAGAAACGAAAUUCUUCUAUCUUGUGUUUGUUGUCACUGGUUUUUGGGUUGUGUUUGUUUUUAUUUUUUUUUCAAUGAUCAUACAAAAAAAAGUUGGAGUGAUUUUGAUUUUUUAACUUUUAUGUUGGUGCUGUUUAACUGGUUUUGUAAUUAUAUACUGCAAGGUAAAUCCAAUAGGUGUUUUACCGAUUUAAAACAGUGUGAUUAUUGUUAAAAGCUUAAUAUACUAAUGCUCCUUGCCAUAUCUGGCAGGGCAGUGAGGACAUUAUCCCAACAAUAGCCUGCCAAUUUUUCGUUAGAUACGAGGUUUUUGUGGGGGUCAGUCCAUCAUCCUACUUUACCACAGUUCAUCUAGAAGGCUUUGCAGAUAAACAAAACCUCGAAGUGGACUGUUCAGUGGGAAAAGUUGUGUAUAAUUUUUAUACAAUACAUGACCUUUAAAGGUCUACUUUAGAAGUGGAGCAGAGAAAUAAUCACUAAGAAAAAUUUAUUUUGGCACCAUGAAGAGAAGCGGUGUUGAUACUUGCUGAUUACUGGGUCAUUUCAUGUGAUAGGAACCUAAAUUUAAUGUGUGCUAUAUAAUUCUUCCUCUCCACUUCUACUUCAGUUCAGUUUGUACAAAUGACAUUGUCUAGCAGGGACUCAGAUUUGCAAAAGUACAUUUUUAAUGACAUUACAAAAAGAUUAGUACUGACAGGUUUUUAUAUAUAUAUUUCCUAUGUGGAGCCAACUCUUCCAGCCCAUUUCCUUCAGUGAUAUCUGGAGAGGAUCUGAUAAGCUUUAUACUGCUUUUCAGAGGUCAAAGGGCAUUGUCUUCCCCUUCACUCCAGCUGCCAACAACAAAGUCAGACAUAUGUUAUCACCAUCACACAGGAAGCUGUGAGCCUGCUUGUGCUCCACAAAGUACAAAUACAGGAAGAGCGUCAGGUUAGUUAAAAGCUGAGGGAGCUCUGCUAAGGUAGUAUAUAGCUAAUAAUACUAUAACCCAAUAAUAGUAUUCUAUAUGCUGUGUAUGUUUCAGUGUCAGGGAAGGGUGGUUCUUUAUUGUUGAUUGGUUCAUAUUACUGUAGCCUAAGUACAAGUAUCCAUGUAAACCCUUUUACAGGUGGUAUCAUCUCCUGAGGUGGGGCUGCAUAAUGUUAAAAGAAUAAUUAGUUAUCCAGUAAAGAGCAAAGCUGUAGUGGGAUUAAGUAAAAAUGAAUUGAACAUGAAGUUCAUUUGACCAGAUACAAUUUCAAACUGCCAGUUAACAAAGAGGAUGUGAGUUGCCUUAAAUUUCUUCUAGAUUCCCUCAUUUUAACAUACAGUAUGCUGUAUAUCAAGAUUUAAAUGAUGUACAAUACAUUAGCAAGCUGACACAGUGAAAUGCUGUGGGUCAUGACCUCUUAGUUUGGUAAAAGUGGGCUUUCCACUUCUCUAUACUUUUGGAAUGUGAAAUCAGCUUAAUAGGAACUUUAUGUUUUCAGCACUGAUAGCCCGUAUUUUGGGACCAUGUUCAUUAGUGCUAAAUUUGGAUCUAUUUGCAGCUUGUCUUUGCUUCCGGUACAUUGUUUACUGCUGCAGGAAAGUCUUCCCAAUACAUUACACUAGUUCCUAUCCUCUGGCUUUUGCCUAGCAUGGGACAAAUCAGGCCAGGCACACUGAGUUCCAUCUCCUGCCUCUAAGGACCAGUUGAAACUCUACUACAAUUUAGUGCUACUACCUGUAAGUUCUGGGUCAUACCAUAAAUAACACAUGCAGAUAUCUGUAGGAAUAGGGGACUGCAGAAGUAGAGUUAAGCCCAUUCCUUGCCUGUGUCUUCAGGGAAGUGAGCAAUGGAGUCUUUGUUCUAGUGACAGUGGCAGUGAGUGCAGCACUGCAUCAGUUAACUGUCUUUGUCCCUUCUCUACUUGUUGUAUUUUUGUUUUCACACCUUCAGUGGCUGUGCCAAGAGCUUAAUAUACUUUUUAAAGGGCCUCAAAAGGGUUUGCUUCCUCUGUCAGGAUCACUAGAUUACUUUCAAUGUGAAACCAGCACUUGAGCUUUAGCCAUCCAGAAGUACAGACCCGGCAUACAGUGCUCGUGUCCUACCACUUUGGAGUGUUGUGUGGUUGGAAAAAGUAACCAGAUAUGAAAGUCUUGUGAACAUGUGUGACAGAUGAGUAAAUAAGGACCAUGUAAUGACUUAAACCCACACUUCUGAGUUCCUAGUCUCGGCCUGUAUGUCUGACAGGGGACACCAAGAACUAGAAAUGGUGGGUUCACAGCAGCUGAAGCUCAGAGACCAUGGUAAAGCUUUUCAUCUAAUCCAAGGGAUGGCACCAGUUGGGGUCAGAGAUUGUGCCUAAAGACUGCUCACAUUAAGCACUAUUUUAGGUCACUCCCCUGAGAUGGAGAAUAAGGGUAGCAAUUAUACUUGAGCUUUCAGUCAGGGCCUAUGAGGAGCAGUCCCUCAUGGCAAGUAACUGUUACUACUCUUUUGUGUAGAGUUGCUACUGUAAGUAUAUGAACAGCUGGCCUCUGCUCGCCAUCCUGCUAUGUUGACCCUGCCAGCCUCUUCCGUUUUACUUGUGAGUGAAAGUGCUUGAACAAUUUCAUAUGAUCUUAUAUUAUGGUCUGUAUUAUUACUGCAGACUUCAUUUGUGCAUGUGUAAAUGUUUUUACAAUACCUCAGAAAAGUUCGUCAGGAUUUUGCUGUGGGGAUAGAAAAGGGAGAAGUGAAUUAUUAACAGUAAAACAUUAUCUACCAACUGGAAAAGAGAUGUGUGACCACAUGACAUGACAGAGCUCAUGCUUGUGUAGAGAGAAUGAGGGGAUAUGUACCUGUAGUAGUGACAAGCAGUGCUAAAGGUAGUAACAAGGGCAAGUAACAGAAUGGGAGAUUUAAUGAAAAAUAAAAUGAGAGGGUUUUAGCCAUGUGUGGCCACAUCAUUACAGAUCUUCUUUGAGCUUGGCUAAAAUCCUUUCCUUGAUUUCAGACAGAGAUGUUCAUCGCUACGACAAUCCGUAAGUCAUACUUGAAAUCGCUUCUUCUUGUUAGCUAAAAUCCAAACGCAGAAAAAGCUAUGCUCACUGGCAGGUUAAAACAUAAAAUAUGUCAGUGAGGAAAUGCCCAGAAUUAGACAUAAGGUGAAACUAAAGAAAGAAGGGGUGAGGCUGAGGGAGACCUUUUAUUCAGCUGGCAUUUAAACUGCUUGUUCAGAGCAGAUGGCCCACUCAGAGAAGAGGUGCUUGGAGGGAGUAUACUAGUGGUUCUACAGGAAAUAUAAGUGGUAUUAUUUUAAUUCUGCAAUCUUUGAAAUUUUUGAUCAGCAAAAAAUAAUUCCAUCUAAAUUAUUUUAUUCCAGUCUCACUAUCUUUCUAGAAGGAAUUUAGUUUCGAUGGAAGCUGCUUCGAAACUGCACAGUAUCACAUUGUGAAACUGUGCUUGUGUUCUGAUCAUUUCUCACAAGAGGGUGUUGGAGUUCUUUGCAAGUUAAAAAAGCUGAUGUUCUGCUUCAACUAUGGGAGGGUGGUUUUGUUUGAUGGUGGUGGGUUUUGGCUUGUUUGUUUUGCUUUUGUUUUUUCUGAGGAUAAAAGAAGUUGUUUUCAUUAUGGGCUUAUUGUUGGAUUGUACUGUUUUUAAAUAACAGACUAUAAAAUCAUUGAAAAGCUUAAGUCAAAACAACAGGCAGCUAGUAAGAAAACAACUAUUUCUUACUGCUUUUUUAUUUUGUGCUUCAAUGGCACAUACAUAAUUGUAAAGGUUGUGAUAUAAAAAGCAUUCUUGGGCAUGGUCAUACUGUUAAGCAGUGAAAUUCAUAGGAGCUGGGAGGAAAUCUCCGUGAGAAAUGUAUUUUCUUUGGGGAACCAUCCCAAGGUGAAUCCAAGUCAUCAGCUAACCAGGCUAAACUAAAUGAAAUAAUGGUGCUUUGUCUGCCUGAGACACUCUCCCUGUUUAUGCAGGCAUUUGUAGGGUGCCAACAUCUUGUUAGAGGCUCUCCUCAUGUUUUGUGGUAGAGUGACAAGUAUCAUUGCCCUGUUUCAGAAUCCUCACUGUGAACAGAGAGCUCUAGGUCCAUUUUUUUUUUUUUUUUUUUUUCUGGAUGAUCUCUGAAGAAUCUGGCAGGUUAGAGGAUUCUAUACAUCCAUGGCUCAUUCGUUCAUUUCUAGGCAUACAGAUCCUGGAGGAGGAGUGCGUUCUUGGAAAUGCUUGGGAAAAAGCAUAGACUGUUAUGAAAAUGGCUGCGUCUCCACUUCUCAUAAUGAAAUAGGGUGAUGCGACUGAGGAGUUGGUGUAUUUUACAUUUGGUGAAUAUAAAAGAUUUUGAAAGGUUUAUUCCUAGCUUUAGAGAAUAAAAGAUAUGUCUUAGAUGGUAAAUGACUACAAAGACUGUUUCGAUCCGUAGCGAUUAUUAUGAUGCAAGAAAUAAUAAUGCAGAAAUCCUGUUUCUGUCUGUGGGGAAAUCUAAACCUCCUUGUUCUUUCUAAUUCUAGGAAGAACUUAGUCAUUUAUCUUUGAAGUAUUUGUUUGUAUGCCCUUAAUUCUUAGAAAAACUCUUUUGCUUGUAUCUGCAUUAGCCAUGUUCUGUGUUUGUCGUGUUGUAUAGUUUGUAUUAACUGCCUGUAAGCAUCAGGAGGGUUGGACCUUUCUCCAGAAAAUCUCACCAUACAGCAAUAAACUGAUUUCAUAUCUUACACAUCUGGCAGCAACUCAAGAUUUUUAAAACAUCGGCAAUGCUCUUCGAAGAUCUCUGUACACAACUGAGUGGUUUUGCAGGGCUGUGGCAGUGGCUUUUUCAUUUUAUGCUUUUAUGUUUCUGGUCUCUGAGAAUAUUUGUUACAUGGGUUUUCUUCGAAUUAAAGUUGUAGAAUAAAAAAAAAUGCAGUAUUUUUAGGAAAGAGACGGUUUUCAAUGUAACAGCACAUAGACUUUGAGAAAUACUAUUUUAAUGAAUGCAAAGUCAGGAAGAGUAAUUUUUAAACAUUGUUAAAACAUAUAAAAACAGAUAAUCAGAAGACUAUAGACAUCCCUUGUGAGGAACAGCAUUAUGGAGGCUCCUUUUUUAUUCCUGGAAAGGAACACAGCUUUUUCCUUUCAGCUUUGUUUAGUUUACUUUGAUAUUCUGUUGAAAAUCUCAACCAAAAAAGGAAAAAAAAGAGGAAAAAAAAUGGGAAAAAGAAAAGAAAAAAUCUCUUGGGCAUUGCACUACUGAAACAAAUAGCUUACACAUAAGUGGGUUUUGUCUAAGAAUUAUUGAAGGAUUAAAAAGAGAUUAUAUCCUCACCCUUUUCGCUGUUGUUAUUGAGUACAGCUGAGUUCACAAAUCAAAUGUAGGGCAUCAUAAAAAAUUGCUAAAAUGUAAGCUACAUUUUGCUUUGUCUUUACUCUUGGGAACUUUGAACAAAGGUCAAUACAAGUUUCAUUACCCCUUCUAUUUGCAUUUUCCCACACUUUUCUUUUUCCCACACUUGAAUGUACCUAUAUAGUGCUUGCUUAUGACCAUCAUAGUGUUUUAUAUUUAAAAUGUGUCACAUAUUUUCAAACCCAAAUAUGAUGCAAAGUGAGGAGUCUGUGUCUCUUUUCUCUUGUUUUCAAGUCAGAAUUACGUUUUCUUACAUUUGCAAUUGAUUCUCCACUGAAGAAGUGAUUCUUCAGUGGAGAAUCAGUUGUUUCUUCAGUGGAAGAAACAUUUUCUUCAGCACUACUUUCUUUUGGCCGAGAUUUCAAAAUGUGAGGUUAGGCACUGUCUGUCUACUGUGAAUUGUAGACAGCAACACCAUUUACUUCCUCCUAGCUUGUUAUUUGUUCUGAUCUUCAUCCACAACUGAAAGAUGUGAUGAUGAGGAAAACCUUAUUAUUUUGGCGAGGUUUACUAUUUCUAAGAACAAGACACAUAGAGACAAAAGAAUUUUUUUUUUACUUGUUUUUUUUGAAACAUCAGGUAGAGUCUUUGGAUCUUACACUUCACUAAGUAAGAAAUUCCUAGUUCUUUGUUAUAUGUGUUAAAGUUUCAAAUUUAUACAGGUUUUAAAACCAGCUGGUAGUAGAGAAGGUUCUCGUAGGUCACAGUCUUCCCAUCAUAAACUCUUUGCAAUGUUCUUCAGCUGUUCAAAUAAUCAUACCUCUGCUUCUUUUCUUCCUGCUGUGAAUUAGCACAUAAGCCCAAACAAAUAGGUGUCGUACUGCAUUACCAAACAGAAUAGCAUUUGGUUUAGAAGACCCUUCUACUGAUGUUGUUAGUUUUACUUUACGAUACCAAGUCUUAAAGAUCUUACAAGAAUGAAAGUUAACAAGGAAACUUGCUAUAUUUGUAUAUAUUUUAAGACAAACAUAUAUUUGACCAAUAUAAUUAUUUCUCUAUUGACCCUGCUUUGAGCAGUAGGGUAACCUACACAACUGUAAGUCCCUUCCAGUCUGAAUGACUUUAUUAUCCUGUGUUGGAGACAGUUACUCUAUGAUGUGAAUAAUCUGUUGAUCCUAGACAGGUAAGUUGAACAAAAAAAACCACAUGGGCCCAGCAGCUGUUGCUCUUAUUAUGUAGUUAUUGUUUUCAUGUUGCCUUUUGGUGGUCUGUAUACAGGCAGAACUCCUCUUGCAUAAUGGAAUCCUGUUAAUCUCAGGUGAAAUUUGUGUACAAUCUGAGCAGUGAAUCAAAUAGAGGGAUAAUGGCACCAUGAAGGGUUCAGUUCUGGAAUACCGAAAUCCAAUGAAUUUGCAUUGCCACUGAAGCAAUGUUAUCCCAUGAUCUUGAGUAGCCUGUGGUAAGAACAAUCCAAACUGGUUUGGAAUAUAAUAUUAAUACCACAUAUAAUAUGAAUAGCACAGACUAUACUGUGUAUUUGAGAAAGCCCAUUUACAAACUGCACAGAUAAAGACUUGGUUUUUCUGAGAUGUACAGAACUAGCAGCUAACUCAAUUUCUAGCUAAACUUAUUUUUGACCCAUUGUAAAUAAUGGGUAUUCUCUCAAACAAGACAUAAGACAAAACACAGGAAGUUUUGUUGUAUCCUGUUCUGUUAAAUAAACUUAUUUCUUCAUUUUCAGCACAGCUAAGAUGCCAUUAUAAUGCCUAUAAUACUUUUCCUAAAUAAAAAUACAUUCAGAAGGAAGGGUGAAAAUAAUCUCUGUAAUAUAUUUUAAUUCUAAAAUGAAUAAAGAAAAAACAGCAAGCAAAGCUCAUUAUGGUUAGUCUAAAGCUUUUUAGAUUACUGUUCUUCAGACAUCAAAAAGUAGUGAAAAAACAGGUUAAUUUUCUCUGUGAAAAAUGGCGUGGAAAUUGGAUACUUCAGAAAUUUUAGGGGUGCAAAAGAAAUCAGUUGAGACUUCUCUGCCAAAAGUUCAGUAUUAAUGGUAAUAAAAAAUAAUAUUUUCUGAAGAAGAGCACUUGAGAAAAAUUUUCUGACCAGCUUCAGUUCCAGUUAUUUUAUUUGAUAAUACCUGUACUACUGCAAAAUGGUUCUCUUGGUAAAGAACAGGACAUUCAAGUGCAGUUUGUCUGCUGGCAUUUAUUAGCUGUGGGAAGGUUACCUUUCCAGUGGCAUGAAGGUUGUAAGCCUUGUGGUUUCUAUAAUUAGGUGUACCUUCACUUGCUCUUUUUUGAAGUAGUUAUACAAGUUUUAUCUCCACUAUUCUGUUCCCAUGGGAAGUUUUGUUUAUCAGCCUCAUCAGAUGCCUUGUUAUGAAAUCCCAUACCCAACUCUUCACUAAGUUAGCUGAUUAUUUUGUAUCAAAUAUCACCAUCUGUUCUUAUUAUCUGACAAAAAUACAGAUGAUCAGCAUUGGUGUGAGUUUAAAGUUCAGAUGUUAGAUACACUGAAAUAAACCAUAUCUUCCUUCCUACCAUAGAAUUUGAAUGAGAAAAGGAUUAGAGGUGCUGCUUCGUGUAGUUUGUUCCUGUUUCAUUGCAGAGACAUAGCCUCAGAAUGUGUGAAGCAAAUGUCUUUCUUCUGAAUGCAGACAGACUUGAGUGCUGUGAUUAUUUAUAUUUGAUCUAUAGACUAGUUUGCUUUCUGCAAAUAUUCGGUAUAUGGAAUCUGUCGGGCAUAGCAAUAAUGGAGUUAAAAUCUGGGAGAGGAGCCUGUGGUGCUGCUGAGAUUCACUCUUAGUAGCAGCUGAGCUUUGUGUGGUGCCAUAAAUCAGGUAGCCAUAAAAAGAAAAAUCGUUACUCGAUUCAGAAGGAAGUGGAAUAUGAUAAACUCCUGUUUACAGCCUGAGUGACUUCCUUUCAAGCCCUUCUCCUUUAGGAAACAGAAAAAUCACCCUAAGCUAUUUGACAAAUUAAUGUCUACUGGAUAUGUUCAAUACGUAUUCAUUCAUGUUGUGAUAGAGCGUAGGCACUUUAAUUGGGGACUAUGGGGCUCAUGAUGCUGGGCACUGUCCAAAUGCAUGUGAAAAGCCUGGGCAUAGCUUAUGCCAUGCCGGGGAGCACACACUACAUGUGUCUGGCUCUGCAUUAGAAAGUUCAUGAUCUACAUGCAAGAGAGUUGAAAACAGACAGAUAGGAACUGAUGAGAAAUUAACUAAGUGGUCAAAAUGACAGAUCAAAAAACCCUGUAGAAGUCAAUAUAUGGAAGCUUGCUCUUGAACCUUAGUACCUUUUAUCCCAUUUUCCCAGGAACAGAAAACAGAAAACUGUUAAGCUUCAGCAUUUCAAUAAAACAAAAACUUCCUUUAAAAUCCAGUCACUUAAACAGUUUCUCAUGGCCAGCUAUCAAUAAGCUACAUGACUUGAUGUGAUUUCUUACCAGUUUAGUGUUCUCUGUUCAACUACAGCAUGAGGGAAUAUGAAGAAAUGAGCAGAGUUUUUCUUGAGUUUGCUGCUUAGCCUUCAAAUCGUGAAGUCGGAUCUCUGCCUGAUAGUAUGAAAGGAUGUGAGAAAUGUUCAGUGUUUUAAUCUAUUUACUGUCUACAGAGAAUACAGUUUUUCAGUCCACCCGAACUGCUAUGCCUGCCUCUGUAAAUUAUGUGAUUCUGACUAAAAUAAACACAUCAAAUUUUCCUUUAUUAGUAGUGCUCAAUGUUGGAUGUGAUCAUAAAAGAUGUCUUCAUUUGUAGCUUGGAUUUUAGAAAUCCCCAUAGACCAAUUGAGGAACUGUAAAGAGACCAACUCAAAAUGUCCUGGGAGAAUUUCCAAAAAAAGCAAAACAGCAAGAAAUAGACAUAAAAAUAACAUCUUUAAUUUUCUCUGCCCUGAAUUCUUAGAACACAACUACUGUUUCAACUUGCUUGCAAAAUCACAUUACUUUGAUGUUUUGCAGCUACUGUAGGCUGAGAAAUAUUUAAGGCUGUAGUUACUGAUUUUCUCUGUUCAUGCCUCUUCAGCCUGUCCGCCUAGCCUGGCAGUAUUGAAGAAGAGACUAGACAAUGUCCUCAGACACAUGGUGUGAACUGUGGGGUUGUCCUGUGCAGGGACAGGAGUUGGACUUGAUGAUCCUUGUAGGUCCCUUCCAACUCGGGACAUUCUAUGAUUCUGUAACUCUUAAUAUUGAGGACCUCUGUCGACCUUAUGUAGAGAACAGGCCUGACAACUGAGAAAAGAAAUACCUUCAGAGAGCUGUAGUCUCUGCUCUCUUUCUUUUCCCUCCAGUUCUGAAGAGCACUGUGACCUGUGCAGAUUGGACUGGACGGGGCUUGGUGGUUGUCCCUCUGGUGCUGCCAUAACUUUUGCUCUUGUCUGGUCACAGAUCAAGGUAGCAUGAGAUACCCAGUAUAGUAAAAUAAGUAGGUCCUAUAGCUCCUUUCUUUACCAGAUAGAGUUAAUUCACUUUUACUGAUGGAAAUGUGGGUCUGUGGUGGAAUUUUGCUAGGUCACUCUUAUGAUUCUGUGGUCCUGGUGAUUUUUUUUAUUAUUAUUCAGAAAGUUAGGAUUUAAUAUCGGACUUCAAAACUUCCUAAUGUUCCACCUGUUAAAAAUAAGUCAUUCUGUUUCAUUUAGUGGGACUGUUUUUGUUAUUUACAGCUUGGUGUGCACUUAUGUGAUUUACUGAAGACUAGACAAUGUAUUUUAGAAUAUUGCCUAAUGCAUCUUUAUUGUAAUGUUGUUGCAGGUGAAUAUAUGUGGAUAGAGAAUAGGGAAUUACAGAUGCCUGUAAUGAGUAUUUAGAAGAUUAACCUUACUAAAAUUAUUUUCCUUGACUGUGUGUGAUAUUCUUAUGCUAUUGCCCACUCCCUUCCAAAAGGAUUGUCACAGUGCUGCUUAUCUUGUUUUUGGCUUUGCUGGUCAUUCUUCUUGUGUAGUAAGGAGGUGGUUCUCUUUAUCUUGUUGGAGAACUUUGCUUACUUGAAUGCUACAUGUGUUCACUGAGCUGUCUUUGCCUAUUUAGUGAUCCGGUUGAUCACACACUUGUAUAAAAUUUUUGUACAUUAUGUCCAGUUACACCAUCACAGUAUUAGAAAAUUCUUAGAAUCUGUUGUUAGUUACACUAUUUUAGUAUACUGAUAUUUGGGUCCAAGGCAAGUGAAUAUUAAUUAUAUCCUGGUUAGCAGAGUUACGAUUUAUGGAUGUUAAAAGGCCUCUAUUUUGCCUACAGUGCAAAUUUAAGUGAAGAUCAAUAACCAUUUCUGAUAAGAUAGAAAACUUGCUGCAAGUUUAAAAUAAAUUAUAUAACAGAUGAGAGCCAUAUUAAUAAAUUAUUAUUAGGUUCAGUUUAAUCUCUCUCCUGGAAACAUGAAGUAAAUAGUAUUACAGACUAAUUUUUUUAGGUUUGUCCCCUCACUAGUAUUCAUUUUUUUUAUAAGACGACUGUGAUGCCUGGCGUAAUACACAAUGCAAAACUGGAAUCUGGGAUACAGUCAUGGGAGACACUUCAGAAGUUCUUUUCAGACUAACUAUUCAUAUGACCAAGCCCUGCAACCAUUUAGACGAAGGUACUUGAAUCUCAUCCAGUGAAAGGCAAAUCUAGAUGUUGCUCCCAUCUGUCUGUGGCACAUUUUCCUUCCCUUCCUUCCCUUCCUUCCCUUCCUUCCCUUCCUUCCCUUCCUUCCCUUCCUUCCCUUCCUUCCCAUUUUUCUGGAGGAAACAUCACACUCUUGCACCAGCACUUGAUUCUCUCAGUGACUGUCUUCUCCCCCCAGCAACUACAGCUGGUGGCAACUGUUUGUGUUAAGCUACAGCAGACACAAGAGGAGGCUUUUGACUUUUGGAAGUGCUUUCAUUGCUCAAGCAGCUGUUCCUGAUGUUCCCUGAGGAAGAGUCAGAAAUCUGGAUGAAAGCCAGUUGCACCACAUGAAUGUGGGUGUCUUUCACAUAAAGUUAUUGCAUUAUACUUUCUAAGAGGUUCAAGGAACUUUUAAAGCUGAUUUAAGAAAAGGCUAUUGAUUGUCACACAUGAACAUAAAGUAAUUUUUAAGCUGCUAUUUUUUUCAUCGGUUCUGCAUGUGCACCUUUUUUAAACUAUUUUUUGACACAACUGCAAAACCAUUAAGUUCUAAACAGAUGUUUUUCAUUAAUCCUUUUCUUCAUAAUGCCACAUUUAAAUUAUAAUACUAGAUAUAGAAAUCUGUAAUAUGCUGAUUGCUAGCAGUUUUUCAUUCUAAUGUUUUAUCAUUAGACCACUAACAGGAAGAGCCGUCCACAAAGGGAAUGCAAGUGUCAUAAGAAUAUGCCAAUAUUCUAGAAUAAUAAGAAAAAAAAGAAAAUUCAAACAUCCACUUGUUAUUCUUGUUCAAGAGCUACUACAGCAGCUUAGAAGCUGCCUCGCAAUCAGGCAAACAAUAAUUCAGCUAGUUGAUUGGUGAGAAGUAUGGUGGAACUCUUUUCCACUGGCUUGUAUGAAUUUUCCUCAAAGCUAGCUCAUUCUACAAGGCGGGCAAAUUAUUUUUGUUUGGUUUUGUUUGUUUGUGUGUGUUUUUUUGCUUGUGUGGGGUUUUUAUGGAAUAAAUAACAUACUUCCAUGCUUUAAGAUUGUUGUUUAUAAUGGCCACUAGAUCUUAAGCACAAUUAGGUUUUGUAGCUAGCAUGUUUAUCUCCAGUGGACACAAGCAAAUGUAGUAUCUGUGCUGCUGGAAAGCCACUUGUGCCUGUCAGCACAUCUGUCCAGACAGAACAGAAAUGUUGAUAGCACACUUGCCUGCUCUUGUGUUCUCCCUAGGUUCACGCCUUUUUCUCUGUUGGUCCUCAGCAUAUGGAAGUAGAAAUUUUGAAGAUGGCUGAAUAGGUUUAUACUACUUGUGAAAACUGAUCAGUGAAGAAUUAUCUUUGACCUAAAUGACGGCCAUCUUCAUUUUGCUUUUUCACCAGCUGGAAAUACUGUAAGCCCCUUAUAAUUAAAAACAACCUGAAUUGCCAUGGAGACCAAAAUAAUAGGAGUACUUUUUGUAGACCAAGUAAGAAAUAAGCCAGACUGGGAAUGUCAAGUUCCAAUGGACUGAAUGGGAAUGCAGAAACCUUCCUUUUAAGAAACACCAGAAUUGAUUGCAGUGUUUAGAUGUCUGACUGCUUUGUAUGAGAGUCAGCAUACUCAUUCCAUUGAAGUAAAAGAUAAGCCUGGAAUGAAAAUACCACCUUUUUUUUGUGGAGUCUGAGGCAGAAGGUAGACUAAACACAGCUUUACCUGUGAACAUACUGUAUGGUGCACUAAAAGAACAAUGACUGGCUAACCAAAGACUACGGGAGAAAAUAGUCUGAAGACAGGAUCCUCCUCUACUUCUCCAAGAAAAUAAAUCAAAACUUUGUGAAAAAAAUUCAUAAACGCCCUUGUACAUGGAAACUCAAUUUCUGACCUCCUACCUGGAUUGCUCCCAAAUAGGGCAGAGUGUCUUGGAGACAGGAAAGGUAAGCAGUCUUGUUUAGAAAGGAAAGGAUUGUUGCAAGAAAAUUGGACUUGUACUUUGCCACAGCCACAAACUACACAGUUUUGGAAGAGGAACUAAUGAUGUUAUUGCUACAGAAGACCAACUGCAACAGUCUUCAUGCGACAAUCCUGUUUGGUUUUGAUGUGUCUGUCUUCAGCUUCUGUAAUUUUUUCCUUCGUCAUUGAGUUUUCACAACGGGAAGAGUCAGCUCUAUGAUACCUGUCUCGGUUUGAGAUUUCAUAAAAAAUGCAUCCAGCGUGUUCUAGGCAUUUCUGAGGAGCUGGAAAAUGUGCUGAAUUCCAGAAGAAUUUCAAAGGUGUCCACUAAGUUUGAAAUCUCUCCAGAGAUGACCGCAAGUAUUGAUGAAACAUAUGUAAAGAAGUCUCCUGGGAUAUACACAACUCAUGCAAUGGGAUAUUGAGCUGCUGCUGUAAAAGUUAAAGAGCUGAAGAAAUCAAACCAGCCAGCAUUCAAAGGCAUUUUCGUCAGAUACCCUGACAGUCAGAUUAGUCAUCUGAGUCCUGUUCUCCCUUCAUCUAUGCUGGCUCCCAGUUGGUUUAGUAUUGGACAUCUAUUUCUGUUUGAAUUCUGAAGAAUGCAUUGGGAAUUGUCAGAUGAUGGAAGAUCACUCUCAGAUGCCCUGAAUAAAUGGAAAAAAAGUGUGGGUUUGGAGCUUUCUGAAAUACAGAGCUUCCAAAUAGCUGAGGUCCUCCAUCAUUCUCUGUUCUAAGCAAAACCAUAAUCCAUCAAGUGGAAAAAGGCUAUGUUCCAACAGCAUCCCUGGUUAAACCACUUCAGUAAGCCACUUUCAGCUUUUUCACAUGGACAGUUUCACAGAAAUAAAAUCUCAAGCUGAAAUCACAACUAUGCAGACUGCAUCUUCAACAUGUGAGCACUCAUUGUAAGCAAUCACAAAACUAAUACACACACAGGUGUGUAUAUAUGUGUAUAUAUGCAUCCCGUAACCCUCCAGCCUAAGGAUGUGGGGGGCAAUUACCCGUAUUGUCAUCUCUGGUGCUCAGCCAGUCCCGUCACCGUGCCCGAGGUUCACAGAGGCAAGAUGCUGCUGCUUCAGGGACCGCUAUGGAAGGGAGAGACCCAGAGUCUGCCCCUCUUACCUCUGCUCCCAGGAAAUUCAUUCUGACAUCCAGGAAGACAAGACAAACCAAAAUAUAACGUUUUAGAAUGCAGCAAUCAAUCUUCAUUAACACAGAUGUUUAUCACAGUACAAUCUUCAAUAACUCUAAGUAGGUAAGUAAUAUUAAAAAGAUAAUUGUAUAUAUGACCAUAGCUUUUACAGUACUAUUUAUAAUGCUAGUUAUGUCCUCACUGAUACUUGCUGGCUAUUCAGAAAACAGGGUCACCUGCAAAAGAAACUGGAAAACAGACUCUGAAAAUUUGGCCAAAUUCAGAAUUUAAAAAAGUACAAACUGGUUAUCUGGGAUCCUUGACACCCUUGUGGUACCUAAUUUUCAGAAACUGCUGAGCACCCAUGAUCUUUUAACUACAUCUCAGCUGUGUCUGCAGUGGGACAGCCAGCGACUCAGGUACCAAGUCACGUAUCUGAAUGUGCCAAUACAUUGAAGCUGAGGACAAAGUCCACACUUGCACGUAGUGUAAAUGCUGUUGUUCAUUGUCUGAAAUGACCAGGUUUGGCUUUUAGUUUUGAUACUGAUAUUACUUGAGUUCUUCAGCUACAGCUAUUCUGUAUUUGCUUAGUGAACAAUACAGGUCAAAUGGAACUGCUAGAAAAAUAAACCCUUGGCCAUCUCUAACUCAGUUCUGACCCUCCGCCCUAGACAUGGCGAGACUUCUCCAAAAACAAACAUUCAUUCCUGAAUAAACACCUUUGAGAUGAGGAACAAUGAAUAAUUACUUCUUAAUGUCUUUUUUAUAAUAGGAGACUAUUUUCUCUAUACAAAGGAGGAGUCCCUUCCUGACUCCAGCAAUGCAUAAUCUCUCUUUCAGCAAAGAUAGAGAUGCAUACAAUUUCCUACAUUAACAUUUCUAAGGCUGUUAAAACACUACAGACAAAGAAGAGGGGUGUGUCAUCAUAGUUCAAAGUCACCAGCUCAGAGAAGCAAAGGGACAGAUGUUCGAAUUCUCAGGAGAACGAGUAAGAGAUUGCACUGGCCUGAAAACACAGAACGUGAAAUUGCAUACC